CGGAAAGCGAUUUUAUCUGUCCGUUUGCGUUUGUAAUUGGAUAUUUUCGUUUCUCGUAACUUAUCAGGCAGGUUUGGAACAACAUUAUAGCUCAAGGCCAAUGUGUUCAGCCCAUGUAAACAUUGAGAUUGUCAGUGGGGGAGAGUGAGCUGUCAUUCACUAGAUCCACCCCAGCCAAAGGACAACAGUUAACUACUGAUAGAUUUAUUCAGGGCACCUGCUGCACCUUUUUAUGAUGACCACUCGAAGUGAAGGCUGCCGCAUUUGUGG